CCUUGGGAUCUGCCUGCCUUGGCCUCCCAAAGUGCUGGGAUUACAGGCGUGAGCCACUGCACCUGGCAUAAUUUUGGCUACUCUUAAUCAACCCCAGAAGGUUUAAUAAGAACUUUGAUUAGCUACUUUCUAGCUUCAUGAAUUUACCAAGCUAUUCCUGGUUUUGCACCUUUAAGAAACUCAUUUUUUAAAUCUGAUGAAUAUAUGUCCAUAAGAAGCUUUACUUGGUUAAAAUUAAAUACAUACAAAAUUGACAGAAAAAUUAUUUUGUCAAAGAAAAAUGAACGAAGAGUAGUGUCAUUUUUCAUUGUCACAUUCAUUUCUCUAAGAAAUGGAUCUGUCCUUCAACAUCUCCUCCUAGCCCAUACUGUUUGAAUAUAGAGGGCUCUUGGGCCAUGGUCCGGGGAUUAUUUAUAAUCAGCAACAAGGGGUUACAGUGUCAUGGCUUACAAUUUGGUGGGGUGGGACCAGGGACUAGUUGGAGUUUUUUGUUUUGGUCGUCAUAAUUUAUUUGAAGCAGGGAGCUUGGCUCUCCACCCUUUGUACUUAUUAGUCCACCAAACAUCUGCCCAGUCACCACUGGGACUUUUAACACUCCAUACUUAUACAUGCUUGAUUUUUUGUGGUAUAGACAUAGACACUUAUCAACAUGGGCUAGCUUCUUUUGACCUUGCUCAUCUCCAUACGGGAUGACUGAACAGGCAUCAAACUGAAGGGUUAAAAAAUGACUAGCCUGAGUUACACUGAUGACAAGAUGACCUUCUGUUGAAAAGAAAAAAGAGAAUAAAUAAGUGAUUAUUAAGCUCUUUUUAGAGUUAAUUUGGUGGGGGUGGGCUGUGGAGUGACAGUUCAUGAUUCUGGAGGUGGCGGCACCUUCUUGACUCGGGUGUGAUGAGUCCAUCCUCUUUCUGUUGUCCAGACUGCAGUCUCAGUACAUAGGAGCACUAGGUAGGGUCCUUCCCAGGCUGGUUCGAGCUUCCUUUUCUUCUACCCUUGGAUGAGAACAUGGUCUCAAGGCCAAUGCUGAUGUUCUGGAAACUCCAGGGGUGAUGCCUGUGCUAGGAGACCUUUAGUCCCAAGGGAAAAGAAGGUAGAGCCUAGACCAAGUAUAUAAUUUUUGAGGAAAUGAUCCUUUGUUUCAAACAUAGGGAUGUCAGCAAUGGAGUGUAAGUAGGGCAUUCCAUAGAGCGUUUCCUCAGGUGACAGGCCAAUAUCUUUCCAAGGGGCAGUCCGGAUUCUUAACCAAGCAAUAGGAGUAUAUUUAGUCCAUGGCAAUCGAGUUUCUAAAACUAAGUUAAGUGGUUUAUUAGAGUCUGAUUCAUCCACUCUACUCUUCCUGUGGAGGAUGGAUGCCAAGGAGUAUGGUAUUCCCAAUGUAUAUCUAGUACCUGUGCUAACUUCUUAAUGACAUGCACAGUGAAAUGGGUUGCAGUAUCUGAAUCAGUAUUUUCUAUUAGUUCAAAUCUGGGUAUGAUGUUUUCAAUUAGCGCUUUAACUACAUUACUGGAGGUUGCACGUGAGAAUGGGAUUGCCUCUACCCAGUGGGUAAAAUGGUCUAUUAUUACUAAUAAGUAUAACUACCAAUUGGAGGCAUUUCAGUGUAAUUGAUCUGAACACUUUGAAAUGGUCUCAGUGCUGGAUUUCUUCCACCAAGGCGCAAUUUCCUUAGAUCCUGCUUAUUAGCUUUUUUUACAUGUUAAGCAACUAUCUAUAACUUGUUUGGCCAGGGUGUAAAUUCUUAUACACCCAUAAACCCGGAGAACUGCAUUGCACAUUGCUUGGGGUCCCCAAUGGGUCCCUUGAUGUAAUUGAGACAAGACUUCCCUCAUGAGAGGUUUUGACAACAUUUCCCUUUGAUCUGAUAAUAUCCAUUUCCUAUCCGCAUUUUCUUUAGCUCCUAUUUUUAUCAACGUCUUUUGUUCAAUGGAAGAGAAAACGGGUUACAGUAGGAGGAGGGCAUGGAGUUAAAUGGAAGAAAUGGCAACUUGUUUUGCUAUUUUAUUGUAACCGACUGAGUUAUAGAGAGAAUGCCACAGUCUGAGACUAAUUCAGUGAUCCUUUAUUGCCAGCAACCGAGAGACGGCUAGAGCUCAAAAUUCUCUCAGCCCCGAAGAAGGGGCUACACAUCUUUUUACACCUUGGUCUAAAGAGGGGAGGAGGAGUGUAGCUGAAGCAAUUUUUUACAGAAGCAGAACAGGCAAAAAAGUUGAAAGAUAAAUGGUUACAGAAACAGUAAUAAGAAAAUAAACAGUUCCAGGUGCAGGGGCUUAAAUUAUCACAAAGUGAUAAACGCAAAGGCUUUGGGCACCGUCAACCGAGUGCGUUCCCAGGAGCUGCUGGUACAGCUUGCCUCAGUAUCUUAUCAGUAAGCGCAUUCUUGGAUGUGCUUGGAGUCAGCUUGCACCAGUUAUGUCCUUAAGGGAGGGGGACAAGGGGCUGCAAGUGAAGAAACCAAAAUGGAGUCUGUCCAGCUCUCUCAGCUAAGAGAGAGUCAAUCAGGUUAAAAGAAGUUAGGGUAUCACAUUUCCCACUCGUGUUUGGGGGAAUCAGAUCAUUGAUUCCUCGGUUAUAACAAGGGUGUUAUAUUGGGUUCUAAGAUACAUAAGAUUGACAGAAGCUAUGCGUUGCUUUACAAAAUUAAGAAACCAAUUUAAUAUACAAGGCCUGAAGACUAACCCUAACAAGAGGAGGAGAAGGGGGUCCCGCCAACCCAGUAAUUAGAGUAGUUAGCCAGGGAUUCCAGUUAAACAUGCUUUGGUACUUUGGUACUCCAGGAAUGAGAAAGGUGGUGUUACUUUCUUGUUCCUUCUGGCAUCUAUCUAGAUUUUCUCGAACUCUUUGAAGAGUAUUUUUUAUGACUCCAGACUGAUUGGCAUAGAAACAACAACUUUCUUCUAGAGCUGUGCAUAAACCUCCUUGGGAGAUAAAUAGCAGAUCUAAGCCUCGGCGGUUUUGAAGAACUACUUCAGCUAGAGACUCUACCUGGGCAUGUAGUAUAUUUAUGGCUGAUUGGAGAUUGCUUAAAUCAGCAUCUACCUGUUGAGAUAGUGAUAUUAGUCCAGUUUCUCCUUGAAUCAGGGCAGUCGUGCCAAUAGCUGCUGACGUAGCUAUGCUAAGGCCAGCUAGAAGGGGUACAAGGAGUAGGGCAGCUCGGUGAAACCUGAAAUGCAAUUCAGGGGGAGCAAUGAGAAGUUGUCCUUCUGGCCCACUGUACAUGUAGAUCUGGGGGAGUACAUGAAUCAACAUGCAUAGGAGAGGUCCAGGUUCAGUCCCAUUGAUGCAGCGAGUGAGGCCUGAAAUGCAGGCCAACCAGGUAUUUUUGGGUGCCUGGUAGGAGACUGAGGGGUUUAAGGAAGUAAGGAGAGACUCACUACAAGUAGCCUGAAAGGGAGAAGCAGGUAAGUUAUACCUUGCGCUAAUUAGACAGAAGGCAUUCCCUGACACAUCUCCUAGUGUAAGGGCAUGGGGGCACGUAUGACAAGAAAGAGAGUCCAUUUUGAGCAUGGCUUCUACUCCUAAUCCAACAUAAUAUGGGGGUUUGGCCUUUCGGCACAACCAGCAAUCUCAGGCUAGUUUAGGCUUGGUGAGAUUAAGGAGGUGAUGUAUCCCGUCCAAAAUGGACAUCGGGCUGGGUUGGAGGUAUUGUCAUUGCAGCUGGGGUCUCAGAACCAGGAAUGGCAGUGGGACAGUUAAAUCGACUCUCUCUGGGUGUUUUUGGAACAUAGGGUCACCUAAAUCAGUUAAAGUUCUGAUUGGCUUCAUGGGACCAGGAAUUUUUUCUGGAUGGUGAACAUAGUUCCAACAUCAAAUCCUGAAAUAUAAAGCCUUAAUCCCUAUGACAUGCUGUAAUACCAUUGAGUUAAACUAGGGUUACGGAGAGUUAUAGUAAGAGGAUUACAAUUUCCUAUAGUACACGGCUUAGGAUGGGAAGCACAAGCUAUGGAAAGGGUUGAGGAUCAGGUUCAUCCUCCAGAGUAAGUGGCCAAGGUUACACACAUGCAGUAAGGGCAGAAAAACUGGUAAGAAUCUCGACAACUAGAGUCAGGGCGAUUUCCAGGACAAAGGUAAAAGUCAACGCUCUGGAGCCUUUUUUCUGCACCCUUAGAACUUCCACAUCCAGUUUGGCUUCUGGUGUGUCCGAACCCUGCAGCAAGGUCAGCGUUCCCUGCUCUCAUGAUCGGCAGAUUGCAUUGCUCUUCAAGGGUAUGGGCAGGGUCGGGGAACAAAGCACAUAAACCGACUACAAAAGAGACUUCCUUGGAGGGUCCCACCUUCCAAGUGGUGUUUGCAAACACACAUCCUGUCAUGAAGGAAGUGAGGAGAAAAGAGUAGGAAGGGGCAGAGGACAUAACAGGUGGAAACAGACAGAAGAGGUAAAUAAAAAGAAUUAAUUCGAUAGCUUUACUCAACUUAGGCGCAGUUUUAAGGGGCCUGGCCUAGGCUUGGGGACCCAUUUUUUUUGCUGGGCUUUGUUGGCCUUUUUGAUGCGAGAAUGAUGAAUCCAAGCAGGAGUGCCGUCCACCUUCAGAGCUGUUGGUGUGGUGAGGAUGACAGUAUGAGGUCCUUUCCAGGCAGGAGUCAGUCCUUUUUUCUGGAACUUUUUAACAUACACUAGGUCACCCAGCUGGAAAGAGUGGCAGGGCCCAGUCUGGUCAGGAACUGGGCUGGGGUGUGCUCCCCUGACAAGCAGCUGGAUGAUGUCUUGUACCCGUUGGAGAGACUGCAGGUACUGUAACAAGUUAGCUUGUGAGAUUUCUGCUAAAUGGGUAUCCUUUAGCUUAGGCAAGAUAGGCGGAGCCCUUCCAUACAUGAUUUCAAAAGGUGAAAACCCAGCCUGGUAAGGGGUGCAUCUUACUCUAAGAAGGGCUAAAGGAAGGAGCUUUACCUAGUUUUCACUGGUUUCUAGGAUUAAUUUUGCAAGAGUACUUUUUAGGAUGGGGUUCAUGCAUUCUACUUGUCCAGAGCUCUGGGGUCGAUAGGCACAAUGGAGUUUCCAUUGAAUGUUUAAUGCCUUGCUGACCGACUGAGCUAUGGACGAGGUGAAGGCUGGUCCAUUAUCAGACCUUAUUACAACAGGCAGUCCAUGUUGAGGGAUGAUUUCAUUGAGUAAAAGCUUAACUACCGUGGUAGCAGUUUCGUUUUUGGUGGCAAAUGCCUCAGUCCAUCCAGAAAAGGUGUCUACUAGCACCAGGAGGUAUUUAUACCCUGCCAAGUGUGGUUUUACCUCUGUAAAGUCAAUUUCCCACCUUCCUCCUGGCAAGCCUCCCUGGAGGCGGUGGCCUGGGCUGGGCUUAGGACCUUGCUUGGUGUUUACUUGGGCACAAGCCGUUUACUGGAGAGCUGCUUGGUUAGUUAAGUCCUGAAGGUGGGGGAUCUUGAAAUGGCUCCUUAGAAGCUGGGCCAGUUUUACUCCUCCUAAAUGGGUGGUAGAAUGUAGAUGAUUGAUAAAAGUUUCCCCAAGGGCUUGGGGCAUGAAGAUUCUGGAAUCAGGAAGAAUUCACCAACCUUCCUGAUUUUUACUGGCUUGAAGAUCCGAAGCUUGUUUUUCUUCCUCUGGGGAGUAUUCUGGGUAGUCUGCCCAGUCAGUUGUGGAAAGGACACAGAGGGCAGCAGGGUUAAAGGCACGACCAGGAGCUGAGCUGCCUCUCAAGCUGCAGAGUCUGCUCUUUGGUUACCACGAGCAAUGGCCAUGUCUUCUCUUUGAUGUCCUUUGCAGUGAAUUGCAGCCACCUGUUGAGGGAGCCAAACAGCUUCAAGCAGGGCUAAAAUUUCUUCUUUGUUGUUGACACUCUUUCCUGCUGAGGUAGGAAAUGCUGGGAAGAAAAAGCUGGGCCUUCUUGGCUGGGACCUGAUACCCGAAUUCCUGAAGGAGUCCUGUACAGGCUGGUAAUCAUUUGUUCCGGGUUUCUGGACCGGCAAAAAUGGAAUAUUCCAGGCGAUCUCACAUGGUGUGAGUAUACCAGCUUGUAAUAGUUGCUGAAUAUGAGGAUUAAUUCCCUCUAUAGCCCACAGAAUCAUAGGAUAUUGUUUGACCUGGACCGGCAGGGUGGUGGCCAGGAGUUCUACAACAGCUGGCAGAUGGUGGUUUGCCAGUCCUGGGAGGUAUGAGGAAACAGAGUCUGUAAAGCCAGUAGGAGAGGAUUACUUUUAUUCUCCGGCAGUUGUGAGGGUGAAACUAAGAGAUAUUCCUCUGACCGAAGGGUGGUUAGCAGGAGCUGAGCAGUAGGGGGCAUUGUGUCCCCUAACAUGAGGUGAGUUUGUUGGGCCGAGAAGGAGAUGGACGCCUGUAGCUUAUGAAGCAGGUCUCAUCCGAGGAGGGAGAAGGGGCACUCUGGGACCACGAGGAACAAGUGGGUUACUCUUUUCUGUCCUAAACUCACCUCUCGUGAGUGGGUGACAGGAUAUUCCUGAAUAGCUCCAGUAGCCCUUUACUCAGCAACCUUUUUAUUAGACACUGCCUAAGGGUGUCUGGAGUACUGAGUGUUCCACCCCGGUGUCAAUUAGGAAGCGUACAGGCUGGCCCCCCACUGUGGUGGUCACCAUGGGUUCCCGGGGCCAAGUGACAAAGAGCCCUGGCCCCGUCAAUCAUCAGAUUCCUCUGCUGCGGGGCAGGGUGAGGACCUUUUUCUUUUCUGGUUUCUCCUCUGGCUUUAAUGGGCAUUCCUUUCUCCAGUGUCCAAUCUGCUUGCAAGAAGCACAUUGGUUUCUUUAUAGGGGAGUCCUCUCACGUUUCUGGCCUUCCUGGUGGGGACUCGGGGUCCCCUGGUCAGUGCUCUGUGAUGGGGGCCCUUCCUUUUUGGCUUCUUGGAUGGCAGCCACUAAGCUUUUUGCCUGUCUUUUUGAUGCUUUGUCUGCAGCCCUUUCAGCUGCCUGAGCUACCUGUUUUUGCUUUUCAAAUUCUCGAUUGUCGAAAACUCUCUGGGCUAUCUCUAAAAGCUGGCUGAUGUAAGGAAAUACUUUCUGGCUUCUCUUCAGAUAUGGUCCCUCUCUUCAGAGGUGAAAAGGGAUGAAAGGAGUUGCUGACACUCAUCCCAGGUGGGCCGGUGAGUCUGGAGCACAGACUCCAUCAGUGAGGUUAAGACCUGGGGCUUUUCAGAAAAGGGGGGAUUAUGAGCCUUCCAGUUGUACAGGUCAGAAGUAGAGAAGGGGACAUAAACUAAAAAUGGAGCACAACGCCCACUGCCCAAAGGGAUUUGGGCCUCUGUCAGUGGGAGGAGCGGGGCCACCUCCUCCGGCUGAGGCCAUAAUUGGGAGGAUAUAGGCAGAGAGGCCACAGAGGAUGUAGUUGAGGAGACAAGGGAAGAUUCUGGGGGAGGAGGAGGGUUAUAGGGUGGUGGAAAUGGGUGAAGAAAACUUUCCUCUUCUUCAGAAGGAGGCAGUACAGGAGGAAUCGAGGGAGCUGAGGGUGGAGGCAAAAGUGAGGUCUGGCUAAAAAGGACCUUGGAGGUAGGAUCACGAAUGGCUACAGAGUUUUAUCACGAGUGGAGCCAUGAAGGAGAGCUCUGGACUAAAUCUAGCCAUUGAUCAAUGUAGGGAAACUGAUCGGGGUGACCGGGAGUUCCAACAACGACCCACCACACAGCCUGAACAGCUGUGAAGUGUAGUGACCCGUCUGGGGGCCACCCAGUUCCAAACUUUGGCCAUUCUACUUCGCAGAGUGUCCAGAGUUUGCCUUUUUUAAGGCGGACCCCGUAAUCAUCUGAGAAGCCUAGAGAGAAAUUCUGCAACAUACACUGGAGAGGACUCCAAUCUUUAUGGGGCCGGGAAGAAGAGUUUACUAUUCUGGAGGCAAUUAACAAGGUUUGAACAAAAAUAUUAAACCCAGCAUGGACAAAGAUAUUCACGGCCUGGGAGGCUAUGGUAUCAGAAGAACAGAAGUAUUAUAGCUAGAAGAAGUAGGAAAACAACUAUAGCCAAUAUUUCUUGCCACAUAAGGUCUGUCUCCUCAAGCUUCGAGAUCUAUGGAGAGGAUAAGAGGUGGGUCCAAGGGAUCCUCAGCCAGUGGGACUUAGGUGACCCCCCCUUCUUGACUUAUAUCCCAAAUAACUUUGGUGUCUCCACGACUCGAAAGCAAAAUGUUCAAACUCGGUCCUUUCCUUCACGGGUUUAAGGAGGGAGAACACAGCCAAGUCUUAGAGACGCUGGACUUGCUGCAACACAGGAAAAUGAGAUGUGCAGGGUAAGGGAUGGGGAUGAGGAGGAAAGGGGCCACUUGGAUUUCCCUAAAGGUUGGAGAGUAGCCAAAAGAGGUAAAAUAAGAGUCCAGACAGAGUAGAGCAGUAUGGGUGUAGGUUUCUCUGCACAGUGCCUUAUUUAAGGGCAUGGGAAAAGUUAUGGGAUGACAGAAAAGGUGAGUAAGGAGGUCAGCAGGGUGGCUAUUUUGGAUCCACCACUGGUCUAAGGAGAAGGUGGACCAGUCGUUGGGGCGUGGGGUAUGGCAAUCCAAACGCCAGCAAUCUUUAUGGUGCCAGAAAUCCUAAACGGGUGAAUGUCUUCCACACCCUUCCCCAUAACAACACCUAAUUUGUUUCUGACAGGAAAGGCAGGACUGGGAUGGCCAGCCCAACCGACUAAUGAGGAAUUUGACCUCCUGGGAUAGAAAAUCUGUACUAAGGACCUUGAAGAAGUCCUUGCCCAGUCAUUUUGGGCAGUAUCGACGAUCCGACAUAUGAAAUUUAGACAGACACUAAACAGGACAAUAGGCACUGGGGUAUAUAAACAAGCAUGGCAAUUUUUAUAGACAGACAAGGGGAGGGGGUCCCGUGAUGGGAUCAGUCAGAUGCCCUCCUGGCUGCUCCCCUUUCGGGGACUUAGGCUCCUCUUGGCAUUGGCAGGCUGGUAUAAACCCCUGGCUUGGAUCGAGCUAUGCCUGAUGCCGCCCUAAGCCUUAUGAGGUCACCACGGAACCACAGGUGAGGGCCUUCUCGAAUUCCCUAGCUUUCACCCUGGAGCUACAAACUGGAAAUUCAAGCGCAAGCCCUUGAACUCCACAUUCACUCACUCACUCACUCACUCAGAGUUUAUUACAAUUUUUAUACCCAUUCUAAAACAGAGAUCUCCCGGAGACCUGAAUGAGAGAGGGAGAAGAGAUAGAGAGAGAGAGAGACUAGACUUAACAGAGAAUCCUGACAGAAACCAGGACUCUGUCCUCCAGUGUCCUGGAGCAUGGACAGAGUCUGAGGGAGGACCUUCGUCAGGGCCGUUUCCCUCCCAGAGAGACAGAGUCAGAUCUGACUUACCUUCCCGGGACUAGAGACUGAGGACUCAGGAGUUGAAUUUGGCUGGGCGCACCGGCAGUCGAUCCGUUCCCCUCCAGAAGACAGUGGCCUGUGGAGCCCUGGAACGUCUUCAGGUGGCCCUGUAAGCCAGCUGUCUGUCUGGGGAAGCCCGGAAUGAGUCAGGUCUUCACCCGGUGGCGAAUCUCUCUGGGGCUUCCAAAUGUCGUAACCGAGCAAGUCAUAGAGAGAAUGCCACACUCUGAGACUAAUUCAGGAGUCCUUUAUUGCUGGCGACUGAGAAAGAGCUAGAGCUUGAAAUUCUCUCGGUCCGGAAGAAGAGGCUAGAGUUCUUUUUAUACCUUGGCCUAAAGAGGGGAGGGGGAGUCUAGCUGAAGCAAUUUUUUACAGAAGCAGAACAGGAAAAAAUUAAAAGAUAAAUGGUUACAGAAACAGUUACAGGAAAAUAAACAGUUCCAGGUGCAGGGGCUUAAAGUAUCCCAAAGUGAUAAAAGCAGGGGCUUUGGAUACCACCAACCAAGUGUGCUCCCAGGAGCUGCUGGUACAGCUUGCCUCAGUAUCUUAUCAAUAAGCGCAUUCUUGGAUGUGCUUGGAGUCAGCUUGCACCAGUUAUGUCCUUAAGGAGGGGGACAAGGGGCUGCAAGCGAAGAAACCAAGCUAAGACUCUCUCAGCUAUUGACUCUCUCGAUAUUGACUCUCAAUUGAGUCUCCCAAGCUAUUGACUCUCUCAGCUAAGAAAGAGUCAAUCAGGAUAAAACAAGAUAGGGUAUCACAAUUUGAUCUGCAAGAUUAUUUCCUGGACUUGUGAAAGGCGAGUCGUUUUGGUGCCCUGGGACAUGUACAAUAGCUAUCUCUUCUGGCAAUUGGAGAUUGUUGAGGACACGAGCAUCAGUUCUCUAUGAACUAAAUCUUGGCCUCUACUAUUGAUAAGAGCCCUCUCCAUCCAAAUUUUCCCAAAUGUGUGUGCCUCCCCAGAGGGAUACUUAGAGUCAGUAUAGAUAGAUUUUCUUGGUUUUGUAAAUGUCCUAAAGCUUGGCUGAGUGCAAACAGUUCACACCCUUGGACAGACCAAUUAUUAGACCCCCUUCCUGAUUUUACUUUUUUAACAGUCUUUCCAUUAAUCACUGAAUACCUAUUAUGUCUCUUUCUUUUAAUCACCUGGGAGGUUCCAUCUAUGAAUAAGUGCCACCCUGUCUUGAAGGGAGUUUUUCCUAAGUCUGGUUGAACUUUCGUAUGGUAAUUAAUUCGAUUUAAACACGCGUGCUCUCUCGUUUUACGUUUGGAUCCCCCGUUAAAGAGCCUGCUGAAUAAAGUGAAUUAUUAGUACUUAAUAUUAAAUCACCUUUUUCCCAGAAAGAUAGCCUCAUAUUUUAAAAUUUUUGAGUUGGUAAUCUCCCUCCUUGCGUUUUGAUUUAAUAUAGUUUUAACUUGGUGGGUUGUGGCCUGAAGCGGCUGGGGAGUAACUUGAAACCUCAGCUGAAGGGACAGCACAGGCUGGGGCGUGGCCUGAAACAGCUGGGGAGUAACCUGAAACCACAGCCGGAGGGACCUGAGAGGGGAACCAAAGGGGCAGGAUUGGGGGCGCUGAAGGAAGGAAGGUGAUUUAGAGGAUCCCAUGUCUUGGUAGGUAUGGGUUGUCUAGGCAUGGGAACUCUUUCCUUUUUAGAAAGGUUGGUUUCUGAUUUUCUCCCUCCAGAGUCUAAAGGGUAAAGGAGAACUGGUCCCUGCCGCCAGCAGAGGGCGUAAUCGAUUUUUCCUGGGACACAGGGCUCUUACUGUUAACAUAUUUGAUUAACAGCUGACAAAUUCGCUCUUCAUUAGACUUAAAUUUUGGCCAGAAAAGUGAGGGCUUAAGGAUGGGUUCUCGAACUUAAAUAAAACAACAAUAUUCUAUCAUCUGCUGUUUUUGUUUAUACUUGGUUCUCUUAUUAUUUUUUCAAUACUUUAGCAUAAGCCCCAAGGGGCUAUCAGAAGGAAAUUCAUCACUCUCUAGACUCUUUAGUUUUCCUGUCUUACUUGAAACGUUCCCCAUCUUAGGGAUUAUGGGGAGGAGGCCCAACCCCUCCUGUGAGAUUUCUACCCUCCCCCUUCCUGGAGGCUUACUGAGGCUUUGGGGAAAGGCUCCAACCCAACCUGUUUGGAUUUCUACCCUCCCCCUUCCUCUUUGUCUACUCUGUCUGUUCCUGACUCUAGUUGACAGAUGGCAGCAUGAGGCCAUAGAGAAGACUCACUCACUCCACAUAACCACCAUACUAAGUCCCAUUCAUACACUGUCAGCCUCCAGCUUAUCCCAACCACCUGGGAAAUACUUUGUCACCUUCGCCAAGUCUCCUACCUUAUUCCAUGCACAAGAAUUUCCUGGUCCUCUUAUUGUUGCGGUCUUGCAAGCUUCUCCUCCCCGCUUUGCUGAGAUCCAGACUUAUUUGUCACAAAGCGGGGGGGGGGCCCUGAUCUCCCUCAACCUAGGGGCACGGUAACUAGACAGUAGGAUGCGUCCCCUCCGGGUGGGGUGACCGAAGGCCCCCUUCCCAAAGGAGAAGAUUCGAGCCCCAAAGUUGGGCUCCAGAACUGUUAGGAAUAACGCUCAAAAUCUUAAGGAAAUUGAACACUUGAACAAAGGAUUCUUAGCAAAGCAAUUUUACUUCUGCGCAGAGAGGUGCCUCCUUGUCCAGUCGCCAUGAGAGCACACCUGAAAAAGGGGCACGAGAGCCUUUACUCCUGACACAAGUACUGCCCCUGUACCCUUUCUCCAUUGGCCAGGGUCAGGUCGUACAAUCUAAACUAAUCCUGGUUGGCUAAACAUUGGAUUUUUUUUAGAUAAGGUGGGCACGUAAAAAAGGCAGAGAAUAAAGGGGAAGGGGUGUCUGUAAUGAGCUAAAAAGUUAGUCCUCUUUCCAAAUAAGGAAAGGAAUGUGAGCAGGUACAGAUACCACCUGGUACUGUGGCAUGCCUGGGCAUGUAACAAAGGAAAAAAGAGAAAAAAGGAGAAAAAGGAAAAAAGGUGGAGGGAUUA
rnacentral:lncRNA from 1 species